GCGUAAUUAGUAUAAUGGUUAUUAUCUCGGUUUCCCAUCAUAUGGCCUUAUCCUUGCAAGGAAUCUUACCGAGGAUCGGAGUUCGAUUCUCCGGUUACGCA